rnacentral:rRNA from 1 species
AGAGCGAACGCUGGCGGCAUGCUUAACACAUGCAAGUCUCACGGGCAGCAAUGUCAGUGGCGGACGGGUGAGUAACGCGUAGGUAUCUAUCCAUGGGUGGGGGAUAACGUCGGGAAACUGACGCUAAUACCGCAUGACAUCUGAGGAUCAAAGGCGCGAGUCGCCUGUGGAGGAGCCUGCGUACGAUUAGCUAGUUGGUGGGGUAAAGGCCUACCAAGGCGACGAUCGUUAGCUGGUCUGAGAGGAUGAUCAGCCACACUGGGACUGAGACACGGCCCAGACUCCUACGGGAGGCAGCAGUGGGGAAUAUUGGACAAUGGGCGAAAGCCUGAUCCAGCAAUGCCGCGUGUGUGAAGAAGGUCUUCGGAUUGUAAAGCACUUUCGGCGGGGACGAUGAUGACGGUACCCGCAGAAGAGCCCCGGCUAACUUCGCGCCAGCAGCCGCGGU